CCAGACUCCUACGGGAGGCAGCAGUGAGGAAUAUUGGUCAAUGGCCGCAGGGCUGAACCAGCCAAGUCGCGUGAGGGAUGACGGUCCUAUGGAUUGUAAACCUCUUUUGUCAGGGAGCAAAGGGCGCCACGUGUGGCGCUUUGCGAGUACCUGAAGAAAAAGCGUCGGCUAACUCCGUGCCAGCAGCCGCGGUAAUACGGAGGAUGCGAGCGUUAUCCGGGUUUAUUGGGUUUAAAGGGUGCGCAGGCGGGCCUGGUAAGCCGGAGGUGAAGGGCGGGGGCCCACCCCCGGCCCGCCGUUGAAACUGGCAGUCUCGAGUUGGAGAGAAGUAUGCGGAAUGCGCGGUGUAGCGGUGAAAUGCAUAGAUAUCACGCAGAACUCCGAUUGCGAAGGCAGCGUACCGGCGCCCAACUGACGCUGAAGCACGAAGGCGUGGGUAUCGAACAGGAUUAGAUACCCGUGUAAC
rnacentral:rRNA from 1 species